rnacentral:rRNA from 1 species
AUUGAACGCUGGCGGAAUGCUUUACACAUGCAAGUCGAACGGCAGCACGGGGGCAACCCUGGUGGCGAGUGGCGAACGGGUGAGUAAUACAUCGGAACGUGCCCAGUCGUGGGGGAUAACGUAGCGAAAGUUACGCUAAUACCGCAUACGAUCUACGGAUGAAAGCGGGGGACCGUAAGGCCUCGCGCGAUUGGAGCGGCCGAUGUCAGAUUAGGUAGUUGGUGAGGUAAAGGCUCACCAAGCCGACGAUCUGUAGCUGGUCUGAGAGGACGACCAGCCACACUUGGGCUGAGACACGGCCCUGACUCCUACGGGAGGCAGCAGUGGGGAAUUUUGGACAAUGGGCGCAAGCCUGAUCCAGCCAUUCCGCGUGCAGGACGAAGGCCUUCGGGUUGUAAACUGCUUUUGUACGGAACGAAAAGGCUCUGGUUAAUACCUGGGGCUCAUGACGGUACCGUAAGAAUAAGCACCGGCUAACUACGUGCCAGCCGCCGCCGUAA